AACGAACGCUGGCGGCAGGCUUAACACAUGCAAGUCGAGCGCCCCGCAAGGGGAGCGGCAGACGGGUGAGUAACACGUGGGAAUCCACCCAUCCCUGCGGAACAACUCCGGGAAACUGGAGCUAAUACCGCAUACGCCCUACGGGGGAAAGGUUUAUCGGGGAUGGAUGAGCCCGCGUUGGAUUAGCUAGUUGGUGGGGUAAAGGCCUACCAAGGCGACGAUCCAUAGCUGGUCUGAGAGGAUGAUAAGCCACACUGGGACUGAGACACGGCCCAAAGUGGUACGGGAGGCAGCAGUGGGGAAUAUAGGACAAUGGGCGCAAGCCUGAUCCAGCCAUGGCGCGUGAGUGAUGAAGGCCUUAGGGUUGUAAAGCUCUUUCACCGAUGAAGAUAAUGACGGUAGUCGGAGAAGAAGCCCCGGCUAACUUCGUGCCAGCCGCCGCCGUAA
rnacentral:rRNA from 1 species